GACCAAAAUAGUAAAAGCUCAAAGGCCUCCAUGGAGCAGGCAGUGAUAUUUCCACCUCAAAGGCUAUCCAAACUCAAGAACAGGCCUAAUAUACUGAGCAGUGUCUGAGUGGGUAACAUAUUCAACUCUUUUUUUAUGUCUGCUUCUUUCCUUAGCAAGCUGGAAAUGGGUGAAACAAAGUCUAUUUGGGCUGGUACGUUAUGGAAAUGCUGGAGCUGUGAUACACAGAAGUAACCCCAUGCUCCUGCACUGACCUCAGCCUCAGACUUUUGUAGUUGAUUUGCAGAAACUUGCCAAAAUAAAGCAGAAAUCUUAGGAAUUGCUGGACAGGCAGACUUGCUUAAUGAAACCAAAAGAAAUAGAGAGUCUAGGAGUAAAGAAGGCCAAAUUACAAAGAACCUGAAUCCACUGAAAUGUAUGCAAUUCAUUUCAGUGGGAGCAGAAGUUGGCUCAAAAUAGACUUGAUUAAUUAACAAUAAUGAUAUUUUGGCACACUCCUCCCAGGCCACAGAGGAGCAGUCUAUGCAAUUACCGCUGCAAAAUCAUCAUAAAUAUUUGGCUGCAUUGGCUCUAUUAAAUAAAAAGUCUAUAGGAAGCUAAUGGCUGGGGUGAAGCCUUUAUGCAGAGGACGGCUCGUGAUUAAGCACCGGAGCGGCACGGAGAAAACCGUGACUUCACAGAAGUCCAUGGCAAAGUUCCCACGGACCUCAGUAGGGCCAAGACUGAUACUUUGGACCGAGAGAAAGCAGAACUUCACCUUACUGCCCUUGACCCAGCUUGCUUUGAGAGAAUGAAACCCAGAGCACCUCAGACACAUUUACAGAGGACCUCGAGACACAUUUACCUCGCCCUGCUGUUUCCCCAAACCCAGGUUAGUUCCCCUGCCAGCGUCUCCUCCAGCAGGCUUUGCACUGCUCAGUGCCUGGCUCAGCU
rnacentral:lncRNA from 1 species